rnacentral:rRNA from 1 species
CAGUCGCCACGGGAAUACGAAGGGUGCAAGCGUUACUCGGAAUUACUGGGCAUAAAGCGUGUGUAGGUGGUUGUUUAAGUCUGUCGUGAAAGCCCUGGGCUCAACCUGGGAACUGCGAUGGAUACUGGGCGACUAGAGUGCGGUAGAGGAUAGUGGAAUUUCCGGUGUAGCAGUGAAAUGCGUAGAGAUCGGAAGGAACAUCUGUGGCGAAGGCGACUAUCUGGGCCAACACUGACACUGAGACACGAAAGCGUGGGGAGCAAACAGGAUUAGAUACCCGCGUAGUCCCUGUCUCUUAUAC